rnacentral:rRNA from 1 species
UACGGGGGGGGCAAGCGUUGUUCGGAAUUACUGGGCGUAAAGGCUCGUAGGCGGCCAACUAAGUCGGACGUGAAAUCCCCAGGCUCAACCUGGGAACUGCGUCCGAUACUGGAUGGCUUGAAUCCGGGAGAGGGAUGCAGAAUUCCAGGUGUAGCGGUGAAAUGCGCAGAUAUCAGGAGGAACACCGGUGGCGAAGGCGGUUCUCCUGGGCAUGAUCUGACGCUGAGGAGCGAAAGUGUGGGGAGCGAACAGG